rnacentral:rRNA from 1 species
UACGAAGGGGGCUAGCGUUGCUCGGAAUCACUGGGCGUAAAGCGCACGUAGGCGGAUCUUUAAGUCAGGGGUGAAAUCCUGGAGCUCAACUCCAGAACUGCCUUUGAUACUGGGGAUCUCGAGUCCGGGAGAGGUGAGUGGAACUGCGAGUGUAGAGGUGAAAUUCGUAGAUAUUAGGAAGAACACCGGUGGCGAAGGCGGCCCACUGGUCCGGUACUGACGCUGAGGUGCGAAAGCGUGGGGAGCAAACAGG